ACUCAGUUGACGAGUCCCAAAUAGGACGAAACGCGCAUCAAACUGCAU
rnacentral:hammerhead_ribozyme from 1 species